rnacentral:misc_RNA from 1 species
AAGAAUCCCUGCUGCCUCCAGGCUAGGAAACAGAAAAAUAAUAUGUAUUUGCUGUAAUUAAGGGAAGUAGCAACUAACUAGUUCGAUUCCUCACAACGGCAUUUUUUUUUUAAUGGAUAAUUCUGGAACAAUAGAAAGCCACAUUAGCGUGACAGAUGAUGCAAGUAGUAGUCCUUCCCUCAUUUAUAUGAGUACACAUCAAGAGCUUACAUACUCAAAUGAUGCACAAAUAAAAAUUGUUGACCGAAUAUUUAAAGAGAAUGAAAAAAGAGAGCAAUGAGGUUGAAAACAAAACUUAGUGGCAGGCAGGCUGGCUGUCUUUGGGAAAGACAGUUCCAAUAAUUAAACUGGGCCAACGAGUUUGCCAGUGACCAUUAACAGGGCCCACAUUGAUCCUUAAAAAUCGCAGAGAAAUGAAAUGCAUGAUGUAUA